GCUGACGAGUGGCGGACGGGUGAGUAAUGUCUGGGAAACUGCCUGAUGGAGGGGGAUAACUACUGGAAACGGUGGCUAAUACCGCAUAACGUCGCAAGACCAAAGAGGGGGACCUUCGGGCCUCUUGCCAUCAGAUGUGCCCAGAUGGGAUUAGCUUGUUGGUGAGGUAACGGCUCACCAAGGCGACGAUCCCUAGCUGGUCUGAGAGGAUGACCAGCCACACUGGAACUGAGACACGGUCCAGACUCCUACGGGAGGCAGCAGUGGGGAAUAUUGCACAAUGGGCGCAAGCCUGAUGCAGCCAUGCCGCGUGUAUGAAGAAGGCCUUCGGGUUGUAAAGUACUUUCAGCGGGGAGGAAGGUGUUGUGGUUAAUAACCGCAGCAAUUGACGUUACCCGCAGAAGAAGCACCGGCUAACUCCGUGCCAGCAGCCGCGGUAAUACGGAGGGUGCAAGCGUUAAUCGGAAUUACUGGGCGUAAAGCGCACGCAGGCGGUCUGUCAAGUCGGAUGUGAAAUCCCCGGGCUCAACCUGGGAACUGCAUUCGAAACUGGCAGGCUUGAGUCUUGUAGAGGGGGGUAGAAUUCCAGGUGUAGCGGUGAAAUGCGUAGAGAUCUGGAGGAAUACCGGUGGCGAAGGCGGCCCCCUGGACAAAGACUGACGCUCAGGUGCGAAAGCGUGGGGAGCAAACAGGAUUAGAUACCCUGGUAGUCCACGCCGUAAACGAUGUCUACUUGGAGGUUGUGCCCUUGAGGCGUGGCUUCCGGAGCUAACGCGUUAAGUAGACCGCCUGGGGAGUACGGCCGCAAGGUUAAAACUCAAAUGAAUUGACGGGGGCCCGCACAAGCGGUGGAGCAUGUGGUUUAAUUCGAUGCAACGCGAAGAACCUUACCUGGUCUUGACAUCCACAGAACUUUCCAGAGAUGGAUUGGUGCCUUCGGGAACUGUGAGACAGGUGCUGCAUGGCUGUCGUCAGCUCGUGUUGUGAAAUGUUGGGUUAAGUCCCGCAACGAGCGCAACCCUUAUCCUUUGUUGCCAGCGGUUAGGCCGGGAACUCAAAGGAGACUGCCAGUGAUAAACUGGAGGAAGGUGGGGAUGACGUCAAGUCAUCAUGGCCCUUACGACCAGGGCUACACACGUGCUACAAUGGCGCAUACAAAGAGAAGCGACCUCGCGAGAGCAAGCGGACCUCAUAAAGUGCGUCGUAGUCCGGAUUGGAGUCUGCAACUCGACUCCAUGAAGUCGGAAUCGCUAGUAAUCGUGGAUCAGAAUGCCACGGUGAAUACGUUCCCGGGCCUUGUACACACCGCCCGUCACACCAUGGGAGUGGGUUGCAAAAGAAGUAGGUAGCUUAACCUUCGGGAGGGCGCUUACCACUUUGUGAUUCAUGACUGGGGUGAAGUCGUAACAAGGUAACCGUAGGGGAACCUGCGGUUGGAUCACCUCCUUACCUUAAAGAA
rnacentral:rRNA from 4 species